UAUAUAGAUAAAGGUCACAAUUAAGUAAGAUAAUGUGUUGAAUGAAAUACCUUCGUUGUAGAUAAGAAAUCAUCAGUUAACAUAUUCUUUUUGUAAGUAUGUGUGCCUCGGUCGUUUUAAGAAUAUUUGUUCUCGGGGUUUUCCAUUACAUUAGCCAUAUUGGACGAGAGAGUCACGUGUCAACUUAGUACAGACGAGAUUACUAAACUUGAGUCGUGUCGAGUUAAUGGCAAUUGGGCACAGUGGAGUGAUUGGCAAAUAUGUUCAACUACUUGUGGUUCCGGUUUAACUAAAAGUUCAAGGAAGUGUGUGAGCCCAACAACACCUUCAAUAUUGAGCCAAGGUUGUCAAGGCGACGAAAAUGAUUACAGUUUGUGUUUUAAUUC